rnacentral:lncRNA from 1 species
UGGAGUCUCACUCUGUCACCCAGGCUGCAGUGCAGUGGCACGAUCUCAGCUCACUGCAAGCUCCGCCUCCCGGGUUCACGCCAUUCUCCUGCCUCAGCCUCCCGACUAGCUGGGACUACAGGCACCCACCACCACACCCAGCUAAUUUUUUCUAUUUUUAGUAGAGACGGGGUUUCACCGUGUUAGCCAGGAUGGUCUCAAUCUCCUGACGUCGUGA